GCAAACUUGGUCAUUUAGAGGAAGUAAAAGUCGUAACAAGGUUUCCGUAGGUGAACCUGCGGAAGGAUCAUUAUGGGAAUGUUCUUCAACAUCAACCACCCUUGUGCACCUUUGACCUCGGGGGCCCUCGGGCUCCCGGGCGUACGAUUCAAAAAUCCUUUUUUGUACUCGAGAACUACCAUAAGUUAUGUUUAACGUGACACAACUUUCAACAAUGGAUCUCUUGGCUCUCGCAUCGAUGAAGAACGCAGC
rnacentral:misc_RNA from 1 species